UGACGCAACCAAGCUCAAGGAGGAGCUCGAUGAAGAUCUUGCCCUUUGUGUUGUUUCGUUCUAGUUGAUCAGUAGUGGAGCCCAGUUGGGGUCGAUCGGGGACCUUUGUCGCAUUUGGGGUUCUUCUUUUAUUUUGGUUCUGUAGUCGGGCCCUGAUUGUAUUUGGUUGAUGUAAUGCUUUAUUCAUGUAAUUGUGUGAAGUGACGAUUGUAAGCCAACUAUGUAUCCUUUUCCUUAUUAUAUUACAUGGGUUGUGUGAAGAUUACCUCACUUGCGACAUAUGCCUUCAAUGCGAUUAUGCCUCUAAGUCGUGCCUCGACACGUGGGAGAUAUAGUCGCAUCGAGGGCGUUACAAGUUGGUAAUCAGAGCCUUCCCCGACCUUAGGAGCCCCACUGCUUGAUCGUUUUUAGCGGCCGAGUUGUGUCUAGAAAAAAUGUUUUGAGUCAUUUAGGAUUAUAUAUAUCGGAGAGUUAGGAAUUCUUUUUACUCCCCAGUCUCUUCAUCGCUCUGGUAAGGCAUCCUGACAUAGAGUUUUGACUCUUCUCUUCUCAAAUUUCACUAAAAAAAAUUUAGGAUCACGCGGGUAUCUUGGAAUCGUUCCGAUGGUUUUAUGAUGAGAACAUUGUCUUGGUGCCUCCUGUCAGGGGUUUAGUGGAAGUGUCCCGGGGAGUUGAGCUCUGAGGUGUUGUCGUCAUAAUUUUAUCGCUGCAGUUCUGGAAUACCUGAGUUUAGUACGCCGACAUCGAAAAUCUCUUUUAUGCAGUUCGUUGGUGAGAUAACCCCGAUAACCCAGUACUGAGGUGAGUACGGGAGUAUUGCCAUGACUUGUAUAACGGAUGCUUUUCGAAGGUUGAGGUAGAUGAUUUCCGAAGGUUUCUUGGUUAUGUGUUGAAGGAUGGAUACAGCUGGAUGUAGGAUUUGUUAGUUUUGGGUGAGAUAUUAUGCUUCCCCUGUAUCCCCAACACCUGAUUGCAUAACCGGAAAAUUUCGGGAGUUUCAUAGGUGGGAAUUCAAGUAGCUCUUAGGAUAUCUUUCCGACGGAUGUAUGAUAUGAAAUUGGGGUUCGACGUCUAGUGGUCCGCCUAUUCACGGUUGGUUUUACAGUGGUCUCGUUGUGUCUUAAAGAGUCCUUGGCUAUGCCGACUCGGGGACGCUUCGUAUGUCAUGUGCACUGCCUUGUACAUGAUGGUGCUGUACGAUCGAGCCCGUGUAGGCCCCACCACGAAAACUUCGGACGAAAUCUCUAUCAUAUGUUUGUUCUGGCUUAUUUUGCAAGUCAAUCCUUUGUUUUGUUUUGAGUUGUGGUAUUCGAGUUGCUUCGAAGUCAAAUGUUGAUUCCAUACCUUUUCCAAAUGGUGUUCUCAUAUUCCUAUGUGAAUACUAAUCCUUCUUGAUCAUCGAGUCUGUCUUGUCAAUCCUUUUUUUUAACCGGUGUGUCUCUCCUCAAGUGGAUCCGUUCACGUCAACAUUUGCAAGAUCAUUUAUCCCUUCUUCUCAACGGUGUUUGUUUCAUCCGUCUCCAAGUUGCCUUUGUUUUUCCCACCCUCCCUCCCUUUUGUUUUCUUCAAGGACUAAGAUUUCUUCUUCAAGUAUCCAUUUUAUUGAUGGGAAGUUUCUCCAUUCUUUCCGUCAAUGUUCUUAUCCGGUGAUUCUCAUGAAGAUUCUAAUGGAGCUUCAAGUUCGUCAUUCCUCGUUCUUUUCUUCUCCGGUGGAUUUAAUUCAAGCUUUGGUAUUAAGCAUACUCCUUUUCUUUUUUUUCCAAUGCUUUUCUUAUGCCGGUGCACCUCUUAAUCAUCCAUCUCUCGCUAUUAAAUUGUUCCGGAGUGCUCAAGAUAUCUCGAAGAUUCGUGUUUCCACUCUGCAUUCGUUCAAGCUCUUUCGAGAUUGGUAUCUCCUUCAAGUCAUUUAAUUCAACCGGUGCAACAUCUCUUUUAAAUCUUUUCAACGGUGUUCUUUUGAGUGGGCCCUAACCCACAGGUCUUUUCCCAGGAUCUUACCUGACUCUUCUAUUUUCCCAGAGCUAUCCUAAAUUCUUCUCCAAGUUUGACGUAAGAAUGAGUUAUCAUUAGUCAAAUGCUUUUCUCCAAGAUCUUUCAAAUUCUUUUCAUAGUUGGCUUAACCUCUUCGCUUUUGAUUCUUCCGGUGUGCCUCAAUAAUUCUUGGUGGUGUUUCUCAUUGUCAUUCUCAUCAUUUGAAGACCGAAGAAGAGUUUCUCUUUAAUCUUGCUCUAUUCUCUUCAAGAUUCAUGGUGCUAGCUUGUUGCCAUCCUCUCAUAAUUGUUUUCGAUUGUGAGAAUCUUUUUCACCCAUCAGGAGAUAUUCAAGAGUCUUCUCAGUUUGUCAUCUGGAGUCCAUCAAUUCAGGUUUAUUCAUUCUCAGCCGUCAGUUAUCAUUCUCCUAUCUUGCCGGUGCAUCUAUUGAAUAUCCUCUAAUCAGUUCUUGAUCUCUUUGUUCUCAGGUAUCUAGUUUGUCUCAAGCACCUUCGUUCAUUUGCUAAUUCUUACCGGUGAUGCACCCCUACUUCGAUCAUUUUCAAUUCUUACGGUGGUUCUUUCAAGAUCUCUCUUCCUUGUUCAUCAUAUCAAUUCAUUUGUUGUUCCAAUCCUACCGGUGGUUCGUUGAAGACCUUCUCAAGUUUUGAUAUAUCUCUUUUAAUCCUUUCUACGAGAAUAAGUAGUAUGCCAAAUCCGUUGAUUGUCAUCAAUUUAAUUGGUGAAGGAUAAGCAUAACAUAAUUCUUAUUCUUGUUCAUCCAAGUGAUUAAUUCUUUAUUCCGGAGGCCCUUAAAAUUCUCGGUUUCAUUUGUUUCAUCUUCUCUUUUUCCCGGAGUUCCAAGCUCUAAUUAUCACGGAGAUCCAUCUAAAUCAUUGCAAGGAUUCACCUUGUGUUUUCAAUUUCUCUUUCUUUUCAUUCCUUUUGUUUACCGGAGUUCUUCAUGGAGGUUCUACAUGAUGAUUCAUCAAGGAUUUAAUUCCUUCUCAAAGUUUUCAUCAAGAUUCAUUUCUAGGGAGCUCAAGCUUUCUUCAUAUUGUAAUCCAGAGUGCAAUUUCUUUCUACCAUAUUAUCGGAGGUGGUAUUAUGUCAUUCUUGAUAAUUUGAGUUCAUGUUCCAUGAUUCACAUGUUGUUAAGAAUGAGUUAUUUUUAAAUCCAUCAACCUCGUUGUUGGAGUUAUCUUGUGUCAUAUUUCACCUAAAAGCCUUCCAUUGGGAAUGUUGCUAUUUGUGGUGCUUGCCAAUGAUCCAAGUUAUCUCUUAUCAUCUUGGUGGAAGAAGUUUUCAUCUCUUCGUUGAUCUCAAGCAAGCAAUUGUUUCCGUUAGUGGCCGGUUGUCACCUCAUAAUUUUGAGAUGUUUUCCAUAAGCCCACUACAAGCUUGUGCUUUUCGUUGUUGAUUUUCCAACAACUCCGUUCAAUUCUUCUUUGCAAGGAUGCUUUCCAAACUCAUUUGUGGCAGAAGUUGGCAUUUUCUUCUCCAUUCUGUUAUUCCAAUGAUAUAUCUUCUAUUAUUUCUUUCGGAGGCAUUGUGACGUUGCUCUUUUCACUCACCAUCUCGAUUCGUGAGGAUCGUGUUCUUUUCUUGCUUAUCCAUUUAACCGGAGUGUCGUGUUUUCAUUCGAGUUCUCUAAUCUUAUCAAGUUUUCCCUCCUUCCUCAACUGGAGAGCUGUCUGAAAUCCUUCUUACCCAUUGUGUCAUUCUUUCAAUAGUUCCGGAGGCAGUGUGUUGUUGAUUUCAUCAAGUAACAUCCCAUCUUCUCAAGUUCAUGUUCUAUUCCUUACAUGUUCAACCGGAGUACUGCCCGAAUUCUUCCCCUCUCAUCUUGUUUUAACCGGAGUGGUUUCGAAUUCUAUCUUGUCCAUUAACUCUUGAUUCAUGUCUUUGCAACCUUCAAGUUCUCGUAAUGUUCCUUGUUCCUUUUUUUUCUAACGGAUUGUUUGCAAUCUCGUUCUUCUCAGUUGUGCUCUUUCUUUUAAAUUGCUCAACCUCUCAAGGUUCUUUGGUUUCACUCAUUGGUCGAAGAAGCAACUUAGGUUUACCUCUUCUCUUCCUCUUCUGUUUCUCUCCGGUGCCAUCCUAGAUCUCGGGACGAGAUCCUCUCAUAGUGGUGGAGUGUUGUAACGCCCCGAGACCGAUGUGCCAGGUGUCGUUCAGUUAUUCGUUGUUGUUGUCUUGUCAUUGGCUCGCGUGUUGCAUUUCAUCAUGUCAUCAUGUGCAUUGCAUCAUCAUGUUUUCAAAACUUGCAUCCGUCCCGGUCUCCUCGUUCCUUCCGUUGUCCGUUUUGAGCCCAACCACACUUGCACGCGCCCGCGGCACGUCCGAAAUAUUAUUUUAUUAGUGGCCGGAAAAUGUUCUCGGAAUGGGUUGAAAGUUGGCAUGCGGUGUCGUUUUGUUGUCAGUAGACCGCCUGCCAAGUUUCAUCGCAUUCGGAGUCCGUUUGACGUCCCAACGGAUAAAUAUAGCGGCAAUAGUAGCCGGUCUAACGUCGGACGUUUUCGGUCUCCGGAAACAGUCGCCGGGCCUCCCUCUCUUCUCUUCUCUCAGCUCGAGACCGUCUGCACAGCCCACCUAGUCCAUCCUCCUUCCCCUCUUCGCUUCCGGAGUUGCCCGAUGCGAUCGCGCGGUCCGAAACCCUCUCUGCACAGUGCAUCGAACCCCUCACGCGAGCGCCCGAAAGUUGUCCCGGACCCGACUCGGACAGUCGUUACCGCUGUGUCCGGAUCAUCCCCAAACAUCUACAAAAUAUCUUCGUUUUAUUAUUCGGGCUAUCUAACCUAUUUAUUUACGACCGCCCGAUUAUAAUCGGACGGACCGGAUUAGUCCCUACCAUCCCCUACCUAUAUAUAUCCAACCCUAGAUCCUAGGCGCCUUGUCCCAUCCUCCCGUUCCCUCCGCCGCCACCCGACCAAACCCUCUCGGGAUCCCCUCCCGAUCCUUCUCCACCCAACCAGCGCUCUCCCUCCUCCUCGUUCCAGAUGCCCGAGCCCCCAAUCCAAAAAUUCCUCUCGGCCUCCACCUUGUAGCCUCCGACCACAUCCAUGGCGCCCCUUGCCUCGACCCGGUCCGGUGGAUCCGGCGCCCUCCUUCCCGCGUGGCACUGCACCAGGCCAGAGCCCCUCGCCGCCGUCUCUUUUCCCCCGUUUCCCUUCCCCUUCUUUUCCCUCUCUGUUUUCCUCUCCCUCUGCUCAUCCCUCUGCUCGUUUCCUUUGGACAGGGGACCUCCAUGGACGAACGGCAAGGCUGCCAAGAGGAUUCGGACGCCGCCGGUUUGCCUCUGAUCCGCCUCCCCUCGCCAAAUCUGCCCCGUUCCCGGCGCCCUCCGCCUCACCGUUCCCCUGCCUUGGCCUCGCGACCCCGCGCCUCCCUCCUGCAGCCCGUGGAAGCCACCAGGAGGCGGACUCCCGUGCUGCACAGGAGCUCCUCGCCGCCCGAAUCCGUUUCCCCAGGUCGCCGGACCUCCCUGCAAGCAUCGCCGCCGGCGGCCACAGGUCCAGCGCCAUGCCCCGCCUCCUUCCCGCAUUCUUCCUCCUCCCUCUGAAUUCAUCUCUCUCUGUCCUUGCCUCGAACAAGAGCACCAGCCGGCGCCACCAUCAUCGGAGAAGGGCUCCCGCCGCCCAGAUCCGCGCCUGCCGGCCUCCGCGCCCUCACCGGAGUGCUCGUCCCAGUCCCGCCGCCGCCAUCUUCUGCAUCGCCAUGGGUGAGCUGCUGUUUUUGUUCUUCAGAACGAGCAGAGCAGCUCGCCCGCUUUGCUCGCCCGCUGUUGACCGCGCCUCCGCGCCCUUGGGCCGCCUCCUCUUCGUCAGUUGACCGAGGCCCAGCACCAGCCUCCCUUCACAGAUCCAGCCGGCCCGCUUGCCCUGCCGGCUUGCUGCCUCCACCGAACCGGGCCAAGGCCCAGGGUGAGCAGCCCCCUCCAGAUCCCUCUCCUGUGCACAUUCGGGCCAGCCAGAUUCGGCCCGUGUACCUUUUUUUUCCAGUUCUGCGAAUUUAGUUAUUUUUCUAGAGACUGCCAGUUUUGCAGAAAACCCCCUUAAUGUUCAUGCAUCAAUAUUUAAUUAACCAUGCAUCGGAUUAAAACAGAUUAUAUAUGUAAAAUGCUUAGAAUUUCAUCUAGUUUCAUAUUUUGCCUUUUGCAUCCAUGUUUAAAAUGUUUAAAAUGUUGUUUACAUUAAUUUGCAUAAAUGCCAUGCUAAAAUGAUUUUAUUCAUAACUAAAUAACCGUAGCUCGGUUUUAAAUGUUCUUUAUAUGUAUGGGGUGGAAAAAUGCCUAGAUUAACAUGGUCCAUUUUAUUUUCCUGUUUAACAACUUUAAAAUAUGUUUUAGGGCAGAACAGUAGCAAAUUCAUAAUUUGCAUAUGGGGAUUUUCCGGAUUUCUUGUUUGUUAUAUCCGGCCUCAUUUAAACUUGCCUAACUAUUUAGUUUACUUUUGUUACACCCCUUGACAUGUUUAACAACAUUUAACAUUGUUGUGUUCAUAACCGAGAUUAAACUAAAUAAUUGAUGUGGUGUUUUGUUAAUAUGCAACCCGUUGCAUAUUGAGCUCCAUUUAAUUUGUAGGAUUGUUUGUGCACUUUGCCAUGCCAUGCCUCAUUAAACCGGACAUGCAUCAUACUUGUUUGCGCAUCAUGCCAUGUUUAUGUGAUGUUUGUUUACUAUGUUGUUUGUUUCUUUCCGGGUUGCUUCUCUCGUUAGCUUCGGUUUCGUUCCGGAGUUGUGAGGAUUCGUUCGUCUACGGCUGUUUGUCUUCUUCUUGGAUUCGUUCUUCUUCCUUGCGGGAUUUCAGGCAAGAUGAUCAUACCCUCGAAAUCACCACUAUCUUUGCUAUGCUAGUUUGCUCGCUCUUGCUAUGCCAAUGCUACGAUGCCUACCAUUUGCUUGUCAGCCUCCCAAAUUGCCAUGUCAAACCUCUAACCCACCAUGUCCUAGCAAACCGUUGAUUGGCUAUGUUACCGCUUUGCUCAGCCCCUCUUAUAGCGUUGUUAGUUGCAGGUGAAGAUUGAAGUUUGUUCCUUGUUGGAACAUGGAGAUGUUGUUCCUUGUUGGAACAUGUUUACUUGUUGGGAUAUCACAAUAUAUCUUAUUUAAUUAAUGCAUCUAUAUACUUGGUAAAGGGUGGAAGGCUCGGCCUUAUGCCUGGUGUUUUGUUCCACUCUCGCCGCCCUAGUUUCCGUCAUAUCGGUGUUAUGUUCCCGGAUUUUGCGUUCCUUACACGGUUGGGCUAUAAUGGGAACCCCUUGACAGUUCGCCUUAAGUAAAGCUCCUCCAGCAAUGCCCAACAUUGGUUUUAUCAUUUGCACUAACAACCUACCACCUUCCCUUGGGUUUUGCAGACUCAAGGGUCAUCUUUAUUCUAACCCCCCCCCCCGGGCCAGUGCUCCUCUGAGUGUUGGUCCGAACUGAGCUGCCUGCGGGGCCACCUCGGGGAAACUUGAGGGUUGGUUUUACUCGUAGCUAGUCUCAUCUGAGUGUGCCCUGAGAAAGAGAUAUGUGCAGCUCCUAUCGGGAUUUGUCGACACAUUCGGGCGGUGUUGCUGGUUUAGUUGUACCCAGUCGAAAUGUCUUGUUGUACCGAGAUACCGAGUCUGAUCGGAGUGUCUCGGGUGGAGGUCUAUUCCUUCGUUGACCGUGAGAGCUUGUCAUGGGCUAAGUUGGGACACCCCUGCAGGGUAUUAUCUUUCGAAAGCCGUGCCUGCGGUUAUGGGCAGAUGGGAAUUUGUUAACGUCCGGUUGUAGAAAACCCGAAGUUGACCUUAAUUAAAAUACAUCAACCGCGUGUGUAACCGUGAUGGUCUCUUUCCGGCGGAGUCCGGAAAGUGAACAUGGUUGUUGGAGUUAUGCUUGACGUAGGUAGUCCAGGAUCACUUCUUGAUCAUACCUUUAUCGACCGUGCUUUGCCUUCUCUUCUCGCUCUCAUUUGCGUAUGUUAGCCACCAUAUAUGCUAGUCGCUUGCUGCAGCUCCACCUCAUACCUUUACCUUACCCAUAAGCUUAAAUAGUCUUGAUCUCGUGGGUGCGAGAUUGCUGAGUCCCUGUGGCUCACAGAUACUUCCAAAACCAGCUUGCAGGUGCUGAUGAGUCUGUGCAAAUGACGCAACCAAGCUCAAGGAGGAGCUCGAUGAAGAUCUUGCCCUUUUGUUUUGUUUCGUUCUAGUUGAUCAGUAGUGGAGCCCAGUUGGGGUCGAUCGGGGACCUUUGUCGCAUUUGGAGUUCUUCUUUUAUUUUGGUUCCGUAGUCGGGCCCUGAUUGUAUUUGGUUGAUGUAAUGCUUUAUUCAUGUAAUUGUGUGAAGUGACGAUUGUAAGCCAACUAUGUAUCCUUUUCCUUAUUAUAUUACAUGGGUUGUGUGAAGAUUACCUCACUUGCGACAUAUGCCUUCAAUGCGAUUAUGCCUCUAAGUCGUGCCUCGACACGUGGGAGAUAUAGUCG
rnacentral:lncRNA from 1 species